AUCGAACGCUGGCGGCAGGCCUAACACAUGCAAGUCGAACGAGUGGCGGACGGGUGAGUAAUGUCUGGGAAACUGCCUGACGGAGGGGGAUAACUACUGGAAAAGGUAGCUAAUACCGCAUACCAUCAGAUGUGCCCAGAUGGGAUAAGCUUGUUGGUGGGGUAACGGCUCACAAAGGCGAAGAUCCAUAGCUGGUCUGAGAGGAUGACCAGCCACACUGUAACGGAGACACGGGCCAGACUCCUACGGGAGGCAGCAGUGGGGAAUAUUCCACAAUGGGCGCAAGCCUGAUGCAGCCAGGCCGCGUGUGUGAAGAAGGCGUUCGGGUUGUAAAGUACUUUCAGCGGAGAUGCGUUACCCGCAGAAGAAGCACCGGCUAACUCCGUGCCAGCAGCCGCGGUAAUAC
rnacentral:rRNA from 1 species